rnacentral:rRNA from 1 species
GAUGAACGCUGGCGGCGUGCCUAAUACAUGCAAGUCGAGCGAACAGACGAGGAGCUUGCUCCUCUGACGUUAGCGGAGGACGGGUGAGUCACACGUGGAUAACCUACCUAUAAGACUGGGAUAACUUCGGGAAACCGGAGCUAAUACCGGAUAAUAUAUUGAACCGCAUGGUUCAAUAGUGAAAGACGGUUUUGCUGUCACUUAUAGCUGGUUCCCCGCCGCCUUAGCUAGUUGGUAAGGUCACGGCUUACCAAGGGAACGAUGCGUAGCCGACGUGAGAGGGUGGUCGCCCACACUGGAACUGAGACACGGUCCAGACUCCUACGGGAGGCAGCAGUAGGGAAUCUUCCGCAAUGGGCGAAAGCCUGACGGAGCAGCGCCGCGUGAGUGAUGAAAGUCUUCGGAUCGUAAAACUCUGUUAUUAGGGAAGAACAAAUGUGUAAGUAACUAUGCACGUCUUGACGGUACCUAAUCAGAAAGCCACGGCUAACUACGUG